rnacentral:rRNA from 1 species
UACGAAGGGGGCUAGCGUUGCUCGGAAUCACUGGGCGUAAAGGGUGCGUAGGCGGGUCUUUAAGUCAGGGGGUGAAAUCCUGGGGCUCAACCUCAGAAUUGCCUCCGAUACUGGCAGUCUCGAGUGCGGGAGAGGUGAGUGGAAUUCCCAGUGUAGAGGUGAAAUUCGUAGAUAUCGCAAGAACACCAGUGGCGAAGGCGGCUCACUGGCCCGGUACUGACGCUGAGGUGCGAAAGCGUGGGGAGCAAACAGGG